rnacentral:rRNA from 1 species
GAUGAACGCUGGCGGCGUGCCUAAUACAUGCAAGUCGAGCGAACAGACGAGGAGCUUGCUCCUCUGACGUUAGCGGCGGACGGGUGAGUAACACGUGGAUAACCUACCUAUAAGACUGGGAUAACUUCGGGAAACCGGAGCUAAUACCGGAUAAUAUAUUGAACCGCAUGGUUCAAUAGUGAAAGACGGUUUUGCUGUCACUUAUAGAUGGAUCCGCGCCGCAUUAGCUAGUUGGUAAGGUAACGGCUUACCAAGGCAACGAUGCGUAGCCGACCUGAGAGGGGGAUCGGCCACACGGGAACUGAGACACGGUCCAGACUCCUACGGGAGGCAGCAGUAGGGAAUCUUCCGCAAUGGGCGAAAGCCUGACGGAGCAACGCCGCGUGAGUGAUGAAGGUCUUCGGAUCGUAAAACUCUGUUAUGAGGGAAGAACAAAUGUGUAAGUAACUAUGCACGUCUUGACGGUACCUAAUCAGAAAGCCACGGCUAACUACGUG